UAUUGGCCAUUUACAGCCACGAAAUUUUGGAGAAAAAAUGGUUGUCCAUGGAGCUUUUUGAUCUUCCAUUGCUUGGAGGAGUCUUGGGUUAGCUUCUAGCCUUUGUUGUGAGUUGCCGUACGUCGACCUGAAUCCCGAAUCUUGAAUCAGUGAGUUGCCCUUGGUCUGGGACCAAGUGGAUUGAGGCAUUCCGCUGUGUACCGAGUUGAGGGAUAAGCUGCUGCGAAGCUUGUGGAAACACGAAUUAAGGAGGUAGCAGUGGAGCAGGAGCCUCGGGCAAGAGGCCCGCAGAGUGAGCGAUGGAGCGUUUCUUAUUUUGCAUUUUGUUGGCC